rnacentral:rRNA from 1 species
AACUCUCGGCAACGGAUAUCUCGGCUCUCGCAUCGAUGAAGAACGUAGCUAAAUGCGAUACUUGGUGUGAAUUGCAGAAUCCAGUGAACCAUCGAGUCUUUGAACGCAAGUUGCACCCCAAGCCUUCUGGCCGAGGGCACGUCUGCCUGGGUGUCA